GAUGAAGUUCUGCAGAAUGUAUUCGUCGAGGUCGAAAAUAUCAUAAACUCCAGACCAUUAACCCACAUCCCUGUUGAUGAUGACUGCGCGCCUGCUUUGACCCCGAACCACUUUCUUCUUGGUUCCUCAAAUGGCGUCAAACCAUUCUCUACUUUGGAUGACAGUAAUGCAGCUCUCCGUCAGAACAUCCUUGCCUCGCAGGUGCUAGCGAACACAUUCUGGAAGCGCUGGCUAAGUGACUAUCUGCCAGAAAUCACAAAACGAUCCAAGUGGUUCAACCGAACCAAUCCAGUUGAAGUAGGUGAUGUAGCAGUGAUAACUGAUCCCAAACUACCUCGAAAUUGCUGGCCCAAGGGGAAAAUCAUCGUAACCCACCCAGGUAAGGACGGAGAAGUUCGUUCGGCUACCGUUAGAACUUCCACAGGAGUAUACGUCAGGCCGGUUACCAAACUGGCAAUCCUAGAUGUCAGGCGCGACGGAAGUAAGCCAGCCUGAUAGCUGGCGUACUCGGGGGGAGUGUGGGCUGCCCUAUUGGACAGCACGCGCCCUUUGUAAUAAUGUUUCUAGUGCAACCCUGCCCCUUGAUGCUCUGGCGACACUGGACUGGAUUGACAGAGCUGCCGUCUGUCAAAAGCCGUGAGUACAAAAAAACUAGAUGAAUGAGAAGCAGAAAAACAUCCACGUUUGAAGAUCACUCCUAUUCCGUAGUGUUUAUUCCCUUAAUAGUUCUAAAUAAUACUCGCCAAAUUUUGUGAAUUUAUAGUGGCAGAGAGGACCUAGAACUUACAUGCAAAUUAGCGCACAAAAGUGCCUAACCUAAGUGUAUACUAAAUCUACAUCUUUCAUUGAACCUAUACCGCUCCAUCAUAACCAUAAGACCCUUAUUACCCGCCGAAACUGAACUAGGGGAACUAAACGUAAGUAAUUAUAUGUUGACAACACCGCAACAAAAUUUGUUAUCUACCUUACACAGAACAUAAUUUGCUACCAAACCCCACACGUUAUAGAUACACCAGCUUAUAUAUGUAGUUAAUGCUUAUGAUAUGUUGUUUCCUGUGCAUUAGUACGCAUUGACAUGAACUUAAGAACUAAUUGUGAAAUAUUAUAUACCCUCUGUCCUACUUGCACAGGAAAUUAGUAAUCUCCCGAAUAAAGAGCUAACAAAACCGAUCCCUGCUCUGGAGGUUAUUAAGGCGGAAGAAUCCCCCUAUCAGUCAAAGUAACAGACGGUAGAGUUGGUCGAAGCGAACUUCGACAAG